UUCGGUGGCCAUAGCGGCGGGGUCACACCCGUUCCCAUUCCGAACACGGAAGUUAAGCCCGCCAGCGCCGAUGGUACUUGGGUGGAGACGCCCUGGGAGAGUAGGACGCCGCCGGAU
rnacentral:rRNA from 1 species